AGCAGCCGCGGUAAUUCCAACUCCAAUAGCGUAUAUUAAAGUUGUUGCAGUUAAAAAGCUCGUAGUUGAAUUUCGGGAUUUGUCAGUUGGUCGGGCUUCACUGUCCGUAUUGACUUGAUGGAUUCUUACCUUCUGAAUAACCAGCAUGCUAUUAAGUUAGUGCGUUGGGGAAGCAGAUCUAUUACCUUGAAAAAAUUAGAGUGCUUAAAGCGAGCUAGUGCUUGAAUAGAUUAGCAUGGAAUAAUAAAAUAGGACGGCAUGGUUCUAUUUUGUUGGUUUCUAGGAUCACCGUAAUGAUUAAUAGGGAUAGUUGGGGGCAUUAGUAUUCAAUUGUCAGAGGUGAAAUUCUUGGAUUUAUUGAAGACUAACUUCUGCGAAAGCAUUUGCCAAGGAUGUUUUCAUUAAUCAAGAACGAAAGUUAGGGGAUCGAAGACGAUCAGAUACCGUCGUAGUCUUAACCAUAAACUAUGCCGACUAGGAAUCGGACGAUGUUAAUUUUAUAAUGACUCGUUCGGCACCU
rnacentral:rRNA from 1 species